UACGAAGGGUGCAAGCGUUACUCGGAAUUACUGGGCGUAAAGCGUGCGUAGGUGGUUUGUUAAGUCUGAUGUGAAAGCCCUGGGCUCAACCUGGGAAUGGCAUUGGAUACUGGCGAGCUAGAGUGCGGUAGAGGGUAGUGGAAUUCCCGGUGUAGCAGUGAAAUGCGUAGAGAUCGGGAGGAACAUCUGUGGCGAAGGCGACUACCUGGACCAGCACUGACACUGAGGCGCGAAAGCCAGGGGAGCGAACGGG
rnacentral:rRNA from 1 species